rnacentral:rRNA from 1 species
GACGAACGCUGGCGGCGUGCCUAAUACAUGCAAGUAGAACGCUGAAGAGAGGAGCUUGCUCUUCUUGGAUGAGUUGCGAACGGGUGAGUAACGCGUAGGUAACCUGCCUUGUAGCGGGGGAUAACUAUUGGAAACGAUAGCUAAUACCGCAUAACAAUGGAUGACACAUGUCAUUUAUUUGAAAGGGGCAAUUGCUCCACUACAAGAUGGACCUGCGUUGUAUUAGCUAGUAGGUGAGGUAAUGGCUCACCUAGGCGACGAUACAUAGCCGACCUGAGAGGGUGAUCGGCCACACUGGGACUGAGACACGGCCCAGACUCCUACGGGAGGCAGCAGUAGGGAAUCUUCGGCAAUGGGGGCAACCCUGACCGGGCAACGCCGCGUGAGUGAAGAAGGUUUUCGGAUCGGAAAGCUCUGUUGUAAGUCAAGAACGGGUGUGAGAGUGGAAAGUUCACACUGUGACGGUAGCUUACCAGAAAGGGACGGCUAACUACGUG